rnacentral:rRNA from 1 species
CUACGGGGGGCUCCAGUGGGGAAUAUUGGACAAUGGGGGAAACCCUGAUCCAGCAAUGCCGCGUGUGUGAAGAAGGCCUGCGGGUUGUAAAGCACUUUCGGUUGGGAGGACUGCUUCUAGCACUAAUAUUGUUGGAAGUUGACGUUACCUUCAGAAGAAGCACCGGCUAACUCCGUGCCAGCAGCCGCGGUAAUACGGAGGUGCAAGCGUUAAUCGGAAUUACUGGGCGUAAAGCGCGCGUAGGCGGCUAGAUCAGUCGGGUGUGAAAGCCCCGGGCUUAACCUGGGAACUGCAUCCGAUACUGUCUAGCUUGAGUACAGGAGAGGAGAGUGGAAUGCCACAUGUAGCGGUGAAAUGCGUAGAUAUGUGGAGGAACACCAAUGGCGAAGGCAGCUCUCUGGCCUGAUACUGACGCUGAGGUGCGAAAGCGUGGGGAGCAAACAGGAUUAGAUACCCGCGUAGUC